GGGCGUGGGAGCGUGUGCAAACACGUGUGUGUGCGUGUGCGUGUACGUGUGGGGGAUGCCUGCGUGUUCCUGGGGGCGAGAGGGGCGGUCCCCCCGCAGGGCGGCAGACCGCCGAGUGGGGACACUUCCAAGAACCUCAGAGCCCCUUGUCGGGGGGCGAGGCUUCACUGGUUACUCACAAGCUGCUCUCGGCCUCAUUGUCCUCAGAGCAAGACCACUCCCUGGGGACCUGUGACCCCAGAAUUACUCAGAGACCGCACAUUUGUGCACAGGAAACGGCAGGCCACGUGGGCGUCACCGGGUUUCACAGUGACGUGUCUUCCGGGCUGCAGGGAAAUGUUUGACGACGUAAUUCUUUCUUUGGGAUUCUCAGGGGGCAGGCGGGGGUGUGGAGGGCACACUGCCCUUUAUUUGCCCAUCAGUAAUGAGCCCACAGCCCCGCUGGCUCCCUGGGUGGCUCGGGGCUGACGGAGGCUGAGGCUCAGUCAUGUGACGCCAUCACCCUGGAUCCCGCGUGGGGUGUGCCAGGUGGUCGCCCGCCUUGCGACCACCCACAGAGGCGCCCGGCAGCCCCUCCCACGGCCGCUGAGGGUGGCAGUGUGCGGCGCGGGCCGCGUGAGAAGGAGCCGCUUCCGCGGACCUGCCGCCGGCCAUGGACCGUGCGGAGGAACCGGGGGGAACCGGGGCGCCCCAAGGCCGACCCGCCCGUGUCCCCGGCUGCCUCUUCCUUCCGCAUUUCCCGCUGUCAGACGCGCCGGGUUUGUACGUGCAGGAGAGCGCGGGCGGCCCGAGUCAGCGGCUUCCCUGUGGCGGCACCUCUGAGCUGUGUGCCCCCCACUCCUGGUCCCAGAGCUCCCACACCAGGUGACACCGCUCGGGUCUGAGAAGGCAGGCGACGCCCAGGGAGGAGGCCAGCGGGAGCCUGCCUGUAGAGGAAGGGGCCCUGGUGAGGCAGGAGCAGUGACCUGAGGACAGAGGCCACCUCUCUGUGCUCUUGGCUCAGAAGCACGCCCGCCGCCCUGGGCCUUGGAGCCUGCAGAGGAAGGCCGCCCAGGCCUGGGUCCUGCCUUGGCCACCAGCUCCAGCAGCCACAGGAGAAAGGGGCAUCUUUGCCGGCGUCAGCAGGCGUAGAGAGGGGGGCCGGUCAACAAGGUGUAGGGCAGGCCACCUGCUCAGGGCCCCGGGACCCAGAGUGCAGGCCGGGAGCAGAAGCCCACAGGUGUCUGGCCAGUGCUGGUCCAGCGCUCUGCUGAGCUCGAGCGCCUUGGACGGGUGAGGGACCCCGCUUCCCCGCAGGGCGCCCCGCGUGGCAGGCGGCCUGGCAUUGUAAGCCCGGGAGCACGCCGUCCGCUCAGGGCCGUGCGUCCUGCGGUGUGUCUCUCCACGCCCGGCACUGGCACCGUCUCAUCCACAGCCUGAAAAGGAAGACACCAAGCCCAGCUCCCUUUGCCACCUCCGCCCGGCCCUCUCAGCGGGCAGAGCCGGCGCCUGGCCGAGGACUUGGGCUCAGCUCCUGAGUGAGCUGAUCAGAACCUGUCUCGAAUCUUCUACGCAGCUUCUACAUGCAGGCCCGAGCGUGACCUUCCCUGCACAGGAGAAAGGGUGUGGCAGGAAGCAGGGCGGGGAGAGGCAGGGGACACGGCCUUACACACCGGGCUGGGGGCUCUCUGGAGGCGGCCCCAGUGCCCGGGUCGGGGACUCACCUGCAGGAAGCACGUUUCUCAUCCUCGGCCAGGCCGGGAGGCCUGCUGGACCUUCAGCCUCUGUGCCCCGUCCUGGGAGAACCCCGCGUCUACGCGCCCUGUGUUCACAUCUGAGAGGCAGGCGCAUGCAGGCUGCUCCCGCUCACCUCGCCAUCGCCUGCCUUACCUUUUAAAAACUCCGUUUCGAUGGCAGGGGGAGUGUCGUGACAUGCCCUGCCCCUGCCCCCACUGCUGCAGUGGGGUGACAUGCCCUGCCCCUGUCCGUUGCUGCAGCGAUGGACAUGCUGGACCCAGAGCCCCGUGAGGAAGGUGCCGUCUUCCUGGCCUGGGCUUGCUGGUCUAGUUCAAGUGCAUGGCUCUUUGCAGUAUGGCUCCAAGUAACUUGACUGAAAGUGAGUUAUAGAGCAAAAUCACCGGGGGCAGAAAAACGAUUAGUCAGAAUGUGAGCUAGGAAACUGACCAGUUUGUGGUGUAAUUUCUCCUGAUUUACGGCAAGAAAGUUUACGAAGGUCCCCUGGUCACCUGCCAGCAUUCGCGGGGAUGACCAGAGUCCCCCCACGUGACCUUGACGACCUGUUUACUCGCCACUCCAUUCUUGUGAAACACGCCCGCAAAGCCCUGGUUUUUGUUACUCUGUCUCAUUCCACCUGGCAGCUCAUCACGGGCACCAUUCCUCGUCAUUAAUGUCCUGUAGCGUUUUCAGGGGCUACACACCAUUUUACCGUCAUUUAUUUAACUUACGCAGAUCGUUUCCAGCUUUGCGUGUGAUGCAUAGUGACCCUUCAUGCAGAGAUGUAUCUCCUGAGGACAUAUUUCUAUGAAUCGAGCUGGGAUUUUGGUACACGGUGCCAAAACGCACCCCCUUGCCCCACCUCCUUGCCCUCCAAAAAAAGCCCGCCAGCUCACGCUACUGCUGCGCGGUGUGGCGGCCUCCCGCUCGUUGGCCAGAAUUGGUUUUACAAUUCAAAACGUUAUUUGCUGCUUUGGCAGAAGAUGAACAGAACGUCAGCGAUGCUUUCGGGGCGUUUCUCUCAUUCAGGUGAAACUCGGCGUUUGUCACAAGCUGACGGGCUGGAGUGCAGUUUACAAACCUGUUCAAGUCCUUUGCCCAUUUUCCUGCUAACGUCGCGCCGCUCCGUGAGGCUGCUCCGAGCCGUCCGUCUGGAACGCACUGUGGAGCUUUCUCCUGGUUUGCCACUUGCUUUUGAUUUGAGCGAUGGUCUCUAACCACCCAGACGUCUUCAGUGUUCGCGUGUCCGAUCUGUCCAUUUCCCCUCUGUGCAGCUUGGAAAGGCCCCACCGUCCAGCGUCAGGAAAUGACCUGCCGGCUUUUGCUCCUUUAUCUGUCCGGCGGGUUCGGGCGCGUGGUGACACGAGGCGUCCAAACUUUGCUUCAAAUCGCUGAUUCCAACGAUCAGCCGAGGGCCUCGCCUCAGUGGCCAGAGCCGGCAGGGGCGGCAAGCCCGAGCACUGGAGUGGGCGGAAGCUCGGAGUGCCCACAGGUCUCCGCCAGACCCCCGAGUGCGGCCUGUUCGUCCUGGUCGGGGGAGCGGAGAGAACUGUCUUCCCUCGACUGGUCAUCUGUGCGCCUCCUGGACACUGACCCCUGAGGUCAGGGUCAGUCUGAGAGCCACUGCUGGUCCCAGUGGCACACGCGAGGUCUCAGAGCGCUGAGCAAACGCCAGCGAUGAGCGCAAAUGCGGCAUCCCUGACACGCGCUGUGGGGACGGUCGGGCGUGGGGCUUCCCGGGGAUGUCCCCCCCACGCCGGGCAGGGUGGCCUGGGGGCAGGACCCUGCUCCCAACACCGGGCGCCGGAGAGAAGAACCGACCUGUGGAAUUUCAUAAAUCAAGACUGUUUUCGUUUCAAGGGUUGAAAAUUGAUUAAAGUCUGAGCCUCCGUGCGCCGUGUGGAUC